AGUUCGAUCUCUGGCUCAGAUUGAACGCUGGCGGGAUGCUUUACACAUGCAAGCUUGUCUGCAGCACGGACUUCGGUCUGGUGGCGAGUGGCGAACGGGUGAGUAAUGUAUCGGAACGUGCCUAGUAGCGGGGAUAACUACGCGAAAGCGUAGCUAAUACCGCAUACGCCCUUCGGGGAAAGCGGGGGACCUUCGGGCCUCGCACUAUUAGAGCGGCCGAUAUCGGAUUAGCUAGUUGGUGGGGUAACGGCUCACCAAGGCGACGAUCCGUAGCUGGUUUGAGAGGACGACCAGCCACACUGGGACUGAGACACGGCCCAGACUUACGGAGGCAGCAGGGGAAUUUUGGACAAUGGGGGAAACCCCGAUCCAGCCAUCCCGCGUGUGCGAUGUAAAGGCCUUGCUGUAAAGCACUUUUGGCAGGAAGAAACGGCACGGGAUAAUACCCCGUGCAACUGACGGUACCUGCAGAAUAAGCACCGGCUAACUACGUGCCAGCAGCCGCGGUAAUACGUAGGGUGCAGGAAAGCGUUAAUCGGAAUUACUGGGCGGCGUGCGCAGGCGGUUCGGAAAGAAAGAUGUGAAAUCCCAGAGCUUAACUUUGGAACUGUAUUUUUAACUACCGAGCUAGAGGUGUCAGAGGGAGGUGAAUUCCGGCGUGUAGCAGUGAAAUGCGUAGAUAUGCGGAGGAACACCGAUGGCGAAGGCAGCCUCCUGGGAUAACACUGACGCUCAUGCACGAAAGCGGGAGCAAACAGGAUUGAUACCCUGGUAGUCCACGCCCUAAACGAUGUUAACUAGCUGUUGGGGCCUUCGGGCCUUGCAGCGCAGCUAACGCGUGAAGUUGACCGCCUGGGGAGAGUACGGUUGCAAGAUUAAAACUCAAAGGAAUUGACGGGGACCCGCACAAGCGGUGGAUGAUGUGGAUUAAUUCGAUGCAACGCGAAAACCUUACCUACUCCUUGACAUGUCUGGAAUCCCGAAGAGAUUUGGGAGUGCUCGCAAGAGAAAUCCGGAACACAGGUGCUGCAUGGCUGUCGUCAGCUCGUGUCGUGAGAUGUUGGGUUAAGUCCCGCAACGAGCGGCAACCUCCUUGUCAUUAGUUGCUACGAAAGGGCACUCUAAUGAGACUGCCGGUGACAAACCGGAGGAAGGUGGGGAUGACGUCAAGUCCUUCAUGGCCCUUAUGGGUAGGGCUUCAUGACGUCAUACAAUGGUCGGGACAGAGGGUCGCCAACCCGCGAGGGGGAGCCGACCCAGAAACCCGAUCGUAGUCCGGAUCGGCCUUGGCAACUCGACUGCGUGAAGUCGGAAUCGCUAGUAAUCGCGGAUCAGCAUGUCGCGGUGAAUACGUUCCCGGGUCUUGACACACCGCCCGUCACACCAUGGGGAGUGGGUUUUACCAGAAGUAGUUAGCCUAACCGUAAGGAGGGCGAUUACCACGGUAGGAUUCAUGAUUGGGUGAAGUCGUAACAAGGUAA
rnacentral:rRNA from 1 species